rnacentral:rRNA from 1 species
CGGCAGCCCUAGUGGUGACCGUUUUUAUUGGGCCUAAAGCGUUCGUAGCCGGAUAGGCAAGUCUUUGGGUAAAUCCUACGUCUUAAGCGUGGGACUUCUAAAGAUACUACCUGUCUUGAGGCCAGGAGAGGCUAGAGGUACUCCUGGGGUAGGGGUAAAAUCCUAUAAUCCCAGGGGGACCACCGAUGGCGAAGGCAUCUAGCUGGAACGGGCCUGACGGUGAGGAACGAAACCCAGGGGAGCGAGCCGGAUUAGAUACCCGAGUAGUCC